CUACGGGGGGCUCCAGUGAGGAAUAUUGCACAAUGGGGGGAACCCUGAUGCAGCAACGCCGCGUGGAGGAUGACGCAUUUCGGUGUGUAAACUCCUUUUAUAUGUCAAGAAAAUGACGGUAGCAUAUGAAUAAGCACCGGCUAACUCCGUGCCAGCAGCCGCGGUAAUACGGAGGGUGCAAGCGUUACUCGGAAUCACUGGGCGUAAAGGACGCGUAGGCGGGUUGGAAAGUCAGGUGUGAAAUCCUACAGCUUAACUGUAGAACUGCACUUGAAACUUCUAAUCUAGAGUAUGGGAGGGGGAGAUGGAAUUAGUGGUGUAGGGGUAAAAUCCGUAGAUAUUACUAGGAAUAUCAAAAGCGAAGGCGAUCUCCUGGAACAUUACUGACGCUAAGGCGUGAAAGCGUGGGGAGCAAACAGGAUUAGAUACCCCAGUAGUC
rnacentral:rRNA from 1 species